AUUGAACGCUGGCGGCAGGCCUAACUCAUGCAAGUCGAGCGAGCGGCGGACGGGUGAGUAAUGCCUGGGAAUUGCCCAGUCGAGGGGGAUACAGUUGGAAACGACUGCUAAUACCGCAUACGAUGGGAUUGCCCAGGCGGGAUUAGCUAGUUGGUGAGGUAAUGGCUCACCAAGGCGACGCUCCCUAGCUGGUCUGAGAGGAGGAUCAGCAACACUGGAACUGAGACACGGUCCAGACGCCUACGGGAGGCAGCAGUGGGGAAGAGUGCACAAUGGGGGAAACCCUGAUGCAGCCAUGCCGGGUGUGGGAAGAAGGCCUUCGGGUUGUAAAGCACUUUCAGCGAGGAGGCGUUACUCGCAGAAGAAGCACCGGCUAACUCCGUGCCGGCAGCCGCGGUAAUUC
rnacentral:rRNA from 1 species